AUGAAGGCCUUAGGGUCGUAAAGCUCUUUCGCCAGGGAUGAUAAUGACAGUACCUGGUAAAGAAACCCCGGCUAACUCCGUGCCAGCAGCCGCGGUAAUACGGAGGGGGUUAGCGUUGUUCGGAAUUACUGGGCGUAAAGCGCGCGUAGGCGGAUCAGAAAGUUGGGGGUGAAAUCCCGGGGCUCAACCCCGGAACUGCCUUUAAAACUCCUGGUCUUGAGUUCGAGAGAGGUGAGUGGAAUUCCGAGUGUAGAGGUGAAAUUCGUAUAUAUUCGGAGGAACACCAGUGGCGAAGGCGGCUCACUGGCUCGAUACUGACGCUGAGGUGCUAAAGUGUGGGGAGCAAACAGGAUUAGAUACCCUGGUAGUCCACACCGUAAACGAUGAAUGCCAGUCGUCGGGUAGCAUGCUAUUCGGUGACACACCUAACGGAUUAAGCAUUCCGCCUGGGGAGUACGGUCGCAAGAUUAAAACUCAGAG
rnacentral:rRNA from 1 species